ACCCGUAGGAGAAGAAAACAAUUGUGAUUCCGUCAGUAGUGGCGAGCGAACGCGGAACAGGCUAAACCGCAUGCAUGGACAACCGGGUAGGGGUUGUGUGUGCGGGGUUGUGGGAUUGAUAUGUCUCAGCUCUACCUGGCUGAGGGGUAGUCAGAAAGUGUCGUGGUUAGCGGAAGUGGCCUGGGACGGCCCGCCGUAGACGGUGAGAGCCCGGUACGCGAAAACCCGGCACCUGCCUUAUAUCAACACCCGAGUAGCAGCGGGCCCGUGGAAUCUGCUGUGAAUCUGCCGGGACCACCCGGUAAGCCUAAAUACUUCUCGAUGACCGAUAGCGGAUUAGUACCGUGAGGGAAUGGUGAAAAGUACCCCGGGAGGGGAGUGAAAUAGUACCUGAAACCGUGUGCCUACAAUCCGUCAGAGCCUCCUCGUGGGGUGAUGGCGUGCCUUUUGAAGAAUGAGCCUGCGAGUCAGGGACACGUCGCGAGGUUAACCCGUGCGGGGUAGCCGCAGCGAAAGCGAGUCUGAAUAGGGCGCAUCCCCUUUGGGGUGUAGUGGCGUGUUCUGGACCCGAAGCGGAGUGAUCUACCCAUGGCCAGGGUGAAGCGCGGGUAAGACCGCGUGGAGGCCCGAACCCACUUAGGUUGAAGACUGAGGGGAUGAGCUGUGGGUAGGGGUGAAAGGCCAAUCAAACUCCGUGAUAGCUGGUUCUCCCCGAAAUGCAUUUAGGUGCAGCGUUGCGUGGUUCACCACGGAGGUAGAGCUACUGGAUGGCCGAUGGGCCCUACUAGGUUACUGACGUCAGCCAAACUCCGAAUGCCGUGGUGUAAAGCGUGGCAGUGAGACGGCGGGGGAUAAGCUCCGUACGUCGAAAGGGAAACAGCCCAGAUCGCCGGCUAAGGCCCCUAAGCGUGUGCUAAGUGGAAAAGGAUGUGUAGUCGCAGAGACAACCAGGAGGUUGGCUUAGAAGCAGC
rnacentral:rRNA from 1 species